UUGUCAAUAGAGGUCAAAUGCAAUUUCAUUUUUUCCUGCCAAAAAUUAAGACUAUUUUCUUUUGACAGUGAAAAAAAGUUCCAUUAACCUCAAAUAAAUCUUCUCUUUUUCCUUUUCUUUUUUCUUUUUUUGUUUUGUUUUUUCUUUCCAAACUUUAUAAGAAAAACAGUCAAGAGAAUCAUUAAACUGUUGGAGGAGGAGUCAUAGCCAUCAGCCCAGAUGAUUUUCAACAGCUCUCAGGAUGUGUGUGGCCUAAUUUUUUUUUCUGCCUCUAAGGCUCCCUACAUCUCCUGCCUCCCAAAAGGGAGGCUUCAGGAGCCACCAUUUUUUUUUAAAAAUGGAGCUAUUCCAGCAGGAAGCUCAUUGAAGGAAACCUACAGCAAAACCUCUUUUUAACAAGUGGUGAGACUGUUCCCAAGGAAUUAGGAGACCAUUCAAUCACUUCAAAUAGCUGGACGGCACAAUAUCUCUAAAUAUGGUAUCCAAAGCAGAUAUUCAUCUAACCCUGCAGUGGGGAGUCAGAUGGAGACAGCAGGGAGUGCGGGAGCGGGAAGCAGGCUGCCCAGGAGGAAGGUCCUGGCACAUCACCUACUCCCACCUCCUCUUCUGGCCAGGGAGAGGUCCGACAGGGACUCAUCUGUGCACUUGGCGCUGUCGCUCUUCGCUUGUCCAGCUCCUGCCGUUGCAGGACCUCCUUCUCCCCUCCUCCUUUUGCUUCCAUUGGUUUCUAGUAACUACUGAGGCUUUCCAGCUAGUCCCUGAGGUUGGCCAAGCUCUGGGCCAAGCCUUUUCUGGCUGUCAUUGAAGUACCAAAGCCCUGGAUGCUUCCCAGAGGGGUAUCUCAGCAAUGUUGCGCUGCAGCCAGACAAAGGAGGGAUGGGCAGGAAAAACAGGAGCUGUGGUAGGGCCUCUGGAAGAGACAGAAAUGUCUUGGGAAACUGAGAACAAAAAUAAACAAUUGUGCCGCCCACUGGGUGUUUUGCCUCUGACUUCAACGUAAAUAAAUUGAAAGUACACAGA